rnacentral:rRNA from 1 species
UACGUAGGGUGCGAGCGUUAAUCGGAAUCACUGGGCGUAAAGCGCACGUAGGCGGAUGUGCCAGUCAGGGGUGAAAUCCCGGAGCUCAACUCCGGAACUGCCUCUGAUACAGCACGUCUUGAGUCCGGAAGAGGUGGGUGGAAUUCCUAGUGUAGAGGUGAAAUUCGUAGAUAUUAGGAAGAACACCGGUGGCGAAGGCGGCCCACUGGUCCGGUACUGACGCUGAGGUGCGAAAGCGUGGGGAGCAAACAGG